rnacentral:rRNA from 1 species
AGUCGAGAAUAGUCUACAAUGGUCGAAAGACUGAUAGUGCGACGCCGCGUGAACGAAGAAGCCCUUCGGGGUGUAAAGUUCUUUUAUAUGUGAGCAGUGGGUUUUAUGUGAACAGCAUGAGAUCAGAGAUAUUAGCAUAUGAAUAAGCAACGGCUAACUCCGUGCCAGCAGCCGCGGUAACACGGGGGUUGCGAGCGUUGUCCGGAAUUACUAGGCGUAAAGGGCAGGUAGGCGGAUCCAUAAGUUUAAUGUUUAAGGCAACGGCUCACCCGUUGUAAGGCAUUAGAUACUGUGGAUCUGGAAUGCGGUUGGGGAAGACAGAAUUCCUGGUGUAGCGGUGGAAUGCGCAGAGAUCAGGAGGAAUACCGAAGGCGAAGGCAGUCUUCCAAGCCGUUAUUGACGCUAAACUGCGAAGGUGUGGGUAUCAAAACAGGAUUAGAUACCCUGGUAGUCCACACAGUAAACGAUAAUCACUAGGUGUC